AAUUUCCUUUGCAUAGGGCGAAAAAUGUGCUCUAUGGGCCUUGCGACGUUAUCUCUAUCGACCCUUCUGUUUUCCCUUAUCCGGCACUCAGUCUUCGAUCAGACCCCUGACACGCCGAUCUGCCGCAAUAUCGUGGGCAGUGAUUAAGGAGAAAAUACAAUGGCUAAUGGUACAGUAAAAUGGUUCAAUUCCACUAAAGGUUUCGGUUUUAUCGAGCCAGAAGGUGGCAACAAAGACGUGUUCGUUCACAUCUCUGCUGUUGAACGUUCCGGCCUUACAGGUCUUCGCGACGGUGCGAAAGUUACUUUCGACAUCGAAGCUGGCCGUGACGGUCGCGAAUCUGCGAUUAACUUGACUGUAGAAUAAUCUACACUCUCGUUUGAGAUAACGCUCGGUGCUUUCGCAUCGAGCGUUUUU
rnacentral:misc_RNA from 1 species